AUAUAUAUAUUAGUUUACGUAGAGAUAACAUAGUAACAUAGUCAUCGUAUAUGCACCAUAAUUUGCAUUUGGUGGGUCGGCAUUGGUGAAGGAAGGAGGGGUCAAGAUAUUUUUCUUUGGCCCCUUUCAAUCUUUCUUUCUUUUUUUUUUAUCUUUGUGUGAUAUUUGUAUAGAUUGUGGGCUGUUCUCAUGUACUUACUGCUUGUUCUAGUCAAUCUAAAUAUAAAUAUAAAAGGGUGGUGAGUAGUUACACAA
rnacentral:lncRNA from 1 species